rnacentral:tRNA from 1 species
GUAAGUAUGGCUCAGUGGUAAAGCUCAUGCUUAGCAUGCAUGAGGUCAUAGGUUCAAUCUCCAGUACCUCCA